GUUGAUUGAGGACCAGUUCAGUAGGCUUCAGAUUCGAGAACGACAAUAACCUAGAAUCAAACAAUACAGGGAGGUAUCUUUUCAGUUUUCAUGGGUGGGACAGGAAUGGUAGAAGAUGAAGGGAAUAUACUCCAGAAGGGAAAGAUGGGAAAGACUAGGAGAAACGGUAAGAAUGAAUGGGUCAAUAGAGAGGACUGCCGAUUCCAGAGAGGUGACCGAUAGAGGAGUGGAGGACUUAAACCUUGAAUUUUAGAAGGUUAAGAAGAAAAA